AUGAAAAUAAACACAGUAAGUAAUUACGCUGGCAUCCCAGGGUGGUGGUACGGGCUUUCUAACAAGGGAGCGAAGAGUCAGCUGCAGUGGCACUGCCGUCCCUUGCUUCUAAAGCCCGGGAGCAGGGCAAGCGCUGUGGGAAGGUGGCAGAGGAAGGGGCAGAGGACAGGGUGCCCGUCCUGGGGUGUCACCCCGGCCCCACCGCAUCUUGUUGGUCUCAGCUGCAAUCGUGAGGAGGAUGAGCUCACCCCUAGGGGCACGUUUACUGACACCUCCACUCUCUGCGGCGGUCAGGUUAUUCAAGGACAAGGUGAGGAAGGAUGAACAGAGUCCUGAGUGGGCUCCAGGAGGGCCGCGGCGAGCCCGGGUCUGCUGUUAACAAGCUGGUGACAUUAGGUGGGCUGCUUUUGAUCACCGGUUCUCACCUGACAUGCCCAGGUUAGCCGAACAGUUCUUUAGCUCUAACAUCCUAAGAAUACUCAGAACAUUUAGCAGAGGUUCCAUUCUUUUUAAACAAUUGAACUGACCUUGAGGCUCUUUUCACAAAAUUUAAAAAAUAAAUCUUAGGAAGGAAUUAAUUUGGAUUGCACAGUCUGCCCUGCAUAUCUGCAGACUUUGUGCCCACACAUUCAACCAACUGUGGAUCAAAAGUAGUUUUUUUUUUAAAAAUUGCAUUUGUACUGAACAUACAUAGAUUUUUUUCCUUGUCAUUAUUCUCUAAAUAAUAGGGUAGCUUCUACUCAGUAGCACAACUAUUUAUAUAACAUGUAUAUUGUAUUAGCCAUUAUAAAUAAUGUAGACAUGGUCUAAGUACAUGGGAGAGUGUGGGUAGGUUCUAUGCAAAUGUCAUGCAAUAUUCCUUCAGGGACUUGAGCACCUUGGACUUUGGUGUCCAUGGGGACUCGUUCCCCAUGGAGGUCAAGGAUGAUGUAUACCUGUCCCCAUGGAUGUCAAGGAUGACUGUAUGCCCGUCCCCGCGGAUGUCAAUCACGGCUGUAUUCCCAGCCAGUCAUUUAGACGCUAUCUAUCUCAAUGAUGUGCCGGCUCAUUUUAGUCCCCAAACCAAGCUCAAGUCUUCAGAGGCUGAUCUGUGAAUCACUACACAGCUAAUUUAUAAAUAUAUUUUAUAAUAUAGUCACCCUAUAGUGGCUUUCUUCACCUAGAACAUAAAAGAACCAGAUGGUGUUUCUGAUUUACACCUGGAUUGCUUACGCCACUGGAGUCUCCAUGAAAUUGAAAGAAUUGGCUGCCACCUCUCAGAAGUAGGUGUUAAAUUUCUUGUAACUGGCAUGUGUGUCAGGAAGGCUCUGCCAACCAUGGCUUCCUAUCAGAUGGGGCCCAGGGCAUAUGCUGCCCGCAGCAGGGCUGCUUCUCACCGUUGGGGGUCCUUCACGCCUCAGUGUCUUUAGGGGAAAUCAUCACGCUUUCCUUUCUCUAAACUCUUCUUAAACUUAUUUCAAAAAGUUAGCAGGUCUAUAUUUCACAUUACAAGCAUGCCAGACUUGUGGCAAUGCACAUUACUGUUUCUUUGCAUUUCUCCUAAAUCGACCCUUUUCCAUUUCCGAGGGUGGGUGCACCUCUGCCUUACUCCUCCACCACACGUUCAGCCAGGGAUCUGGUUCGGAACUGAAGGAUGCCCAGCCUCCGUCUGCUGCAGGGAGGUACCGCCGUGGUGGGAAGACGGGCCUCUGCGCCGCACCCUGACCUUGAGUCUGACUGCCCCUCAGACCCGUGGGCCGCACCCGCCAGCGAGGACGCUGCCCCUGCGAGCGCUCGAGAGGAGUCCACAGCACAGGGUUCUUUAACAACACCCUAGAACUAUCAGGUGUAAAAUACAACGUACGGAGAACUAAGAGCACAUACGAGCGUGUCUACGCUGAGAACGUGUGCCCGUGUUCGUCUGCAUGUAUUAUUUGUCUACAGCUGCUACAGAAAGUCUGCGCAACCCUCUCCCCAGCUCCGGCAGUGGAGUCCUCAGAGGUAUGCAAGACUGUGGGUCUCAGGGUGAAUGACAGCAGCAUCAGGCCAUUCCAGCUGCUUCCUCCAAGUGCACACGAUCAUCGCCCCCAGGGAGGCCCAGGCAGCUGAACCUAACAGUGACCCUGGGCACGGUCCUCUCUCAUCUCCGUCCUCUAAGCUCAGGGUAAGUGCCGCUGGAAGCGGCUGCUGCCUAGACGCUUCGUGUCUGCUGUCUGGCUAACUUUGCUGGUGCUGCUGCUUCUCUGUAUUUCAGCUAAUGCUUGAGAGCAGACAACGCACAGCUCCAGGUGGUGUGGAAACGGCUGUGUGCUGCUGCUGUGGACCAUUACAGUAGCCAAGCCCGGAAAACAAGGCAAGGAGUGGGCAAGGGAAGUGAGCGCUCGGGUCCGCAGUGAGCCCAGCAUGCAGACUGAAGACUGUCCAGGCUAAUCUUCUGCUUCACGCAGCGUGUCAAAGCUACUCAUGCUGGGACUUCUUCCGUUUCCUGAAAAUGGCUUGCCUAGUGCCGCGUGACAGGUUCUCCUCGAGAACCCAGAAAGCUUCACCCGACAUUCACACCCUAUAGCACUCCAUCUGCUCCUCUGUCCGAGAAAGAUUGUGCUGAGAACAUUACAGCUGAGGCCAGUGGUCACCCACGCUCAGCCUCAUGGUCAAGCAGAUCGUGCAUCGUGCUUGGGGAGUAGAAGAGAAGCUAGGUGCUGACGCAACACACACACGCGCACGCGCGCGCACACACACACACACACACACACACAGAGACACGUGUAUAAGCGCAGCCUCCCCCAAGAGUUUAGGGGACUCUCUGGACCCUCCCCCUGGAACAGUCCAUUUAUAUGAAUAUGCAGAGCUUUGCCAUCAGUUGGGACAGGGAUACAGUUUUUCCGGAAACUUUGCAUUAAAGGAAAAAUAUAUUUAAAAUAUAUUUAAGGAGUAAGAACUUCUUUGAGAUUCUUAAUUUAAAAGAAGCAUGUACUUCGCCACUUUGCAUCUGUUCUCUCAGACUAGGGUGCGCCUUCCCACCCCGCCGGGUUGCGGGGAGAGAUCCUAUCAGGCCAGCGGAACCUUCCGGGUGUUAUUUCACACUUCUUGUUCUUCUCUUGGGUGUCAAGUGUGGGAUUUAAUCUUUCAUGUAGGAGGUUCUUUAUUUAAAGCUUUGUAAAUAGUUCAAAAAGAUUCUUUUUCUGGCCAAGGCACUUUGCCCUAUUUUGUAAGCGUUAGCGAUGACAGGCCCUGGCUUAGACUUUCUACGUAGAGGUCAGAUUCUAUUAUUAAUUGCCAACACCACUUAGGAAGAAAUGAGUUUGACAUGUAAAUGAAUAAACCCUGAAGACAGAUAUGUGAUUCUAAAAUGUACAGGCAAAAGUGAAGGACUUAUCCCCCGGAAGUUGCACCUGUGCACCCUGAUACUUCUCUGCGUGACAAAGUGUGGGCAUAUUUUUAAUGUGAGUGUCUUGGUUUUUCUGGCAAGUUAAAAGGCAUCGCUCCCAGAAUGAGUUCCUGCUGCUACUGACGAGCCAUCAACUGCACGCUCUCAAGGCCUCCUCUCCUAACCCCGCCAAGCUGCGGUCUGAUCCACAGCAGAAGUUGCCUGUGACCGAGACUGCUCAAAGCCUGGGAGUCUG